GCCUAGCUGGCUCAAUUCGUAGAGCAUGUGACUCCUGAUCUCAGGGCUGUGAGUUCAAGCCCCACAUUGGGCA